rnacentral:rRNA from 1 species
UACGAAGGGGGCUAGCGUUGUUCGGAUUUACUGGGCGUAAAGCGCACGUAGGCGGAUCGUUAAGUCGGGGGUGAAAUCCUGGAGCUCAACUCCAGAACUGCCUUCGAUACUGGCGAUCUUGAGUCCGGAAGAGGUGAGUGGAACUGCGAGUGUAGAGGUGAAAUUCGUAGAUAUUCGCAAGAACACCAGUGGCGAAGGCGGCUCACUGGCCCGAUACUGCGCUGAGGCACGAAAGCGUGGGGAGCAAAC